AAAUGGCAAGAAAAAGACAAAGAAACUCUAGUCAAGGUGAGCUUUUAUAUGAUUCUUCGGAGCAACAAAAACAACAAAUCAGAAGUAUGUCAAUGCCUCAACCGCCCCAAAAUUGGCCACAAAAUGAAAGAGAUGAAUCACAUGAUACAAAAAAUCUUUUAGAUUCCGAGCAACAAAAACAAUAAAUUGGAAGUAUGUCAAUGCCUCAACCGCCCCAAAAUUGGCCACAAAAUGAAAGAGAUGAAUCACAUGAUACAAAAAAUCUUCCAGAUUCUGAGCAACAAAAACAACAAAUCGGAAGUAUGUCAAUGCCUCAACCGCCUCAAAAUUGGCCACAAAAUGAAAGAGAUGAAUCACAUGAUACAACAAAUCUUCUAGGUAUUAAAUCUCAUGAUAUUUAU